rnacentral:rRNA from 1 species
GAUCUUCGGAUCUAGUGGCGCACGGGUGCGUAACGCGUGGGAAUCUGCCCUUGGGUUCGGAAUAACUUCUGGAAACGGAAGCUAAUACCGGAUGAUGACGUAAGUCCAAAGAUUUAUCGCCCAAGGAUGAGCCCGCGUAGGAUUAGCUAGUUGGUGGGGUAAAGGCCCACCAAGGCGACGAUCCUUAGCUGGUCUGAGAGGAUGAUCAGCCACACUGGGACUGAGACACGGCCCAGACUCCUACGGGAGGCAGCAGUAGGGAAUAUUGGACAAUGGGCGAAAGCCUGAUCCAGCAAUGCCGCGUGAGUGAUGAAGGCCUUAGGGUUGUAAAGCUCUUUUACCCGGGAUGAUAAUGACAGUACCGGGAGAAUAAGCUCCGGCUAACUCCGUGCCAGCAGCCGCGGUAAUACGGAGGGAGCUAGCGUUGUUCGGAAUUACUGGGCGUAAAGCGCACGUAGGCGGCUAUUCAAGUCAGAGGUGAAAGCCCGGGGCUCAACCCCGGAACUGCCUUUGAAACUAGAUAGCUUGAAUCCAGGAGAGGUGAGUGGAAUUCCGAGUGUAGAGGUGAAAUUCGUAGAUAUUCGGAAGAACACCAGUGGCGAAGGCGGCUCACUGGACUGGUAUUGACGCUGAGGUGCGAAAGC